rnacentral:rRNA from 1 species
AUUGAACGCUGGCGGCAUGCCUUACACAUGCAAGUCGAACGGUAACGGGCCUUCGGGUGCGGACGAGUGGCGAACGGGUGAGUAAUACAUCGGAACGUGCCCGAUCGUGGGGGAUAACGAGGCGAAAGCUUUGCUAAUACCGCAUACGAUCUACGGAUGAAAGCAGGGGACCGCAAGGCCUUGCGCGGACGGAGCGGCCGAUGGCAGAUUAGGUAGUUGGUGGGAUAAAAGCUUACCAAGCCGACGAUCUGUAGCUGGUCUGAGAGGAUGAUCAGCCACACUGGGACUGAGACACGGCCCAGACUCCUACGGGAGGCAGCAGUGGGGAAUUUUGGACAAUGGGCGCAAGCCUGAUCCAGCCAUGCCGCGUGCAGGAUGAAGGCCUUCGGGUUGUAAACUGCUUUUGUACGGAACGAAAAGCCUUCUUUUAAUACAGGAGGGUCAUGACGGUACCGUAAGAAUAAGCACCGGCUAACUACGUG